UCGAACGAAGCAAUUAAGAUGAAGUUUUCGGAUGGAAUCUUGAUUGACUGAGUGGCGGACGGGUGAGUAACGCGUGGAUAACCUGCCUCACACUGGGGGAUAACAGUUAGAAAUGACUGCUAAUACCGCAUAAGCGCACAGUGCCGCAUGGCAGUGUGUGAAAAACUCCGGUGGUGUGAGAUGGAUCCGCGUCUGAUUAGCCAGUUGGCGGGGUAACGGCCCACCAAAGCGACGAUCAGUAGCCGACCUGAGAGGGUGACCGGCCACAUUGGGACUGAGACACGGCCCAAACUCCUACGGGAGGCAGCAGUGGGGAAUAUUGCACAAUGGGCGAAAGCCUGAUGCAGCGACGCCGCGUGAGUGAAGAAGUAUUUCGGUAUGUAAAGCUCUAUCAGCAGGGAAGAAAAUGACGGUACCUGACUAAGAAGCCCCGGCUAACUACGUGCCAGCAGCCGCGGUAAUACGUAGGGGGCAAGCGUUAUCCGGAUUUACUGGGUGUAAAGGGAGCGUAGACGGCGAAGCAAGUCUGAAGUGAAAACCCAGGGCUCAACCCUAGGACUGCUUUGGAAACUGUUUUGCUAGAGUGUCGGAGAGGUAAGUGGAAUUCCUAGUGUAGCGGUGAAAUGCGUAGAUAUUAGGAGGAACACCAGUGGCGAAGGCGGCUUACUGGACGAUAACUGACGUUGAGGCUCGAAAGC
rnacentral:rRNA from 1 species